UACAGAGGGUGCAAGCGUUGUUCGGAAUUAUUGGGCGUAAAGGGCGCGUAGGCGGUGCGGUAAGUCACCUGUGAAACCUCUGGGCUUAACUCAGAGCCUGCAGGCGAAACUGCCGUGCUUGAGUGUGGGAGAGGUGCGUGGAAUUCCCGGUGUAGCGGUGAAAUGCGUAGAUAUCAGGAGGAACACCAAUAGCGAAGGCAGCUCGCUGGGACGUUACUGACGCUGAGGCGCGAAAGCGUGGGGAGCGAACAGG
rnacentral:rRNA from 1 species